rnacentral:misc_RNA from 1 species
AAUCUCAACCCUCCUAGGUUUUUGACCUGGUUGGGCUUGGACAUGGGCGUCUGCCAGCAAUGGCUCGCCUUAAAUGACUUAGUGGAACAUCCCACAUCAGUGUUAGACGUAAUAAGUUUCGUCUCUCCUUGUGGUGAUGACUGCUCAUAAUCUGCCAUCGCGCACCUUUUGA